rnacentral:lncRNA from 1 species
CCCCCACCAGCACCAGACCAAUCUCGCUCCUCGCUUAGCCUGCACAUUUAGAAAUACAUGCAGGGCGUGAGUACAUAAUACUCAGUGGGCAAACGCCGAAAAACAAGAAAGGUGCUCUUAGAGCUAUAAGUUUGAAGCUUGCCACAUCUCAGCAAUACACAGAAAUAAGUUAGCAUAAAUGAAUCUGUGCAUGCAGUUUUCAUAAUCAUGAUAUCAUAAAAAACGAUAGCGCAAUCAAAAUACUCAACAUGUAAGUACCACAUCUACAAUUUAUCACCAAAGGUACCGAGAAGUAGGCCUCCCUCUCGAGUACCGUGACCGGCCGACCCGAAGACGGCUCACAGUCACCUCUGUGCACAAAAUCCCGCUUGUGGCAGGACCGAAUUCGUCUCAUCAGUAGAGGGUAACAUACAAGCUCAACAUCAAAAAUUGGCAAGUCAAACAGUUCUCAAAUAUCAUUUAUCUCAAAUAAUUUGAUAAACUCAUAACAUCAUCAAAUCAUUUUAGAAAGCUCAUACGUUAUAUGUAUACUCAAAAUAUUGCCCACCUGAAGUCCUUCGCUUAUUCUGGAAAGAAAUCAGGCAACUUACUUCUUCGUCUCGCUCGGGCCUUCAUAUGUCAUCAUCACAUCGUCAUCGUCAUCGAAGGUUCAUGUGAUAAAACAAACCUUAGUCAGAACUCAAUUUCCAAAUCCAAUCUCUUCUUUACUUUAACUUCUCACUCAACGUCUAUUUACCCGUUAUAACUCAAUCCCUAGGUAUACUCGGCUUCUAAGGAUUCACACGUCCAAUUUUCGACUUAACUCUCAACUCGACUCAAACUCAUAGCAAACAAGCACAUAAACAAGUAUAAACACUUAAGCAUAUUAAAAACACACAUAGACAAGUCGAAAACAAGCUUUACUCUGCACUGACUCAACUUUAAAACCUCACCAGACUCUGUACAGAACUCUCCUGGGGUCGUAACUUAUACCAAAAGAAACCUCUUUGAGUCUAGUUUCAUUUAAAAAAAAGUAGGAU